CCCUUCCCGGAAGCCAGGCUACCACAGGACUCCCUUCUCGGAAACCAGGCUACCAAAGAACUCCAUUCCCAGAACCUAGACUACCAAAGUACUCCCUUCAUGGAAGCUAGGAUACCAAGGGAUCCCCUUCCCGGAAGCCAGGCUACCACAGGACUCCCUUCCCGGAAACCAGGCUACCAAAGGACUCCAUUCCCGGAAGCUAG
rnacentral:lncRNA from 1 species